AGGCUGUCCAGGAAGAAGGAGAGAGCUCUUCUACUCUACUCUGGACAGACGGCAGAAGAUUGCAUGUGGUCACUUACAGAGAAGAGGAAUAAAUCAAAAUCGGAGCAUUGUUUUAUUGCAAAAAUCAUGCUGAAGUUUUAAAGUAAGAGAAGUCACGAUCCUCUGUGAGGUUUAACCAGGUCUCCCAAGACUUGUCUUGAUGAUCAAGCACAGUUUACAAGAAUCACAGAAAUCAGAAGCUUGAAAGUCCAGGGCUGGGGUCGUGUCCCAGCAGGAGUCUAUCCUAAGGCAUCCAGCCACAGAAGUCUGCAGGUAGUGGCAGCAAAGCAAGGGAGAAGCUGUAGCUGCUCAGAGUGCAAUCCCUUUAAGGAAGAGAUUCCUGCUUGGGCACAAGUCAGUGGGAGAUUGACACAGAUCAAUACUAAUGCAAAAAUAAUGAAAAGACUCAUGAUCACCACACUAACAUUCUUUAAGGAAAAUGAUAGUUUAAAGAACCAAAACCAAAAAGCCCUGACAACAAGAUAACAGCAACAACGAAAGAUCUUGUCAGUCUUGGAUUGUAGCAGGAGGGACCAGAAAACCUAGGUUGUUGCCCUUCCUACUGUCUGACUCUGUGACCUAUGACAACACUACUCAGAUAGUUUCUACUCCAUUAGACCAACAGCCAGUCUCAAGGAGACAAACUCAACUCUUCCAAGUCAUUGGUUUUUAGGAAAAAACUCUUGCCUUCAAUAUGCUUUCCUCACAACAAAUGCAGAGGCACAACCAAUUGCAUGUAGAAAGUAAUAUUGUGUUGAGGAAUCAGAUAUAUUCCUCUUCCAUAAUUGAGCAGGGAGUUCUCAGAGUAGCUGGCAUCUGCUAACUUUGAACAAUUGUAUCCGUCCAUCUCUUCAUUGCAGACUCCUACAAGAUAAGAGCCAGGAGAGUCUUAGAGAUGAUUAAUUCCCUGUCCAUACUUGGCAGCCAAACAAAUCAGGUGCUUAGUGAUUGAGUGAAGUCCCUAAUCCCAUAGCUAGUCUGUGGCACAGCUAGGCUAGACUUCGGACCACCCUGACUUCCUGGUCAAUGGGAGAAGUAAUUGCAUUGUCUAGUAAAUACGGUGGUUACCUGUAAGAUUGACUUAAUGGCUUUAUCUUCCUUUAAAGACAAAUUCAGGACUCCACAGAGGGGAGUCUCAGCUGUUAGCUUUUUGGUAGUUGGACCUGUCUUACCUGAAUGAGAAACAUGCAGAGCAAUAAUCAUGGGAAUGAAAACGGUCAGAGGUGAAUCACAAGGUUGCAACAAAGAUGAAUAAUAUUGCCAUAUUCUCUGUGUCCAGACUAUUCCCAAGCAAGAAGCCAGUAUGUAGUCUCUUUCCUUCAUGCUUUAUUGUCCUUGUAAUUAACCUUAUCUAUUUUCCUAUUUACAAAUGGGAUUAACUUUUUUUUCACAGCAGCUACAAAGAGUAAUAAAGUAUCAUGUCUUGAUAUGCCUUGUUUCCUU
rnacentral:lncRNA from 1 species